ACGCUCGACACCUACGGGAGGCAGCAGUGAGGAAUAUUGGUCAAUGGGCGCUAGCCUGAACCAGCCAAGUAGCGUGAAGGAUGAAGGCCCUAUGGGUCGUAAACUUCUUUUAUAUAAGAAUAAAGUGCAGUAUGUAUACUGUUUUGUAUGUAUUAUAUGAAUAAGGAUCGGCUAACUCCGUGCCACAGCCGCGGUAAUCUGAGCGGGCUGGCAAGGC
rnacentral:rRNA from 1 species